UUCACCAAAUUAAUGAAUGAGACGACAGGAUUUUCGAGAAAUAUCUCUUGUUGACUGAUUUAUUUAACAAGAUAACCGCCUUGAUUCAUUUAUCUCAGUCAAGGUCCUUGAAAUGAAUUCAUUAGCCCAACUGAGUGGUCGUCGUGGCUCGCAACUGAUUUCUUUAUUGAAGUCUAAAAACUCUCAUUAAGUGAUUAACGUAAACAUGAAAACAAAUUUUAAUAAAACAAAAAUAAUAUAGCUUGAUCCUGUUGUAAGAGACUUAUGAAUUUUCGAGAAAUUGGGGCCGGAAGGCGGAAUUUGGCUGAACUCACACCUGAAGGACCGCAUAUCAAGUUUAUGGAGAUGCUUUGGAAUCAUUUAAAAGUGUCACAAUAAUACAUCUGUGCAGAUGUAGCACAGAUGUAGUCAAUUCUAUCAACCCAUGUCUAUUAGCUGGAUUAUAUUCCAACUAUAUUUAUGGCGUUACAACUGCACUGAUAAUCAAACAAAAUGAGUGGAUAGAUGUCUGUAAGUCCAUGAACAUUCCAUGAAAGAACCGAAAGUUCACCUCCGUCGUGCCCCUAGCUCCUCACCGACUUGCCGUCUACGUACAGGG